rnacentral:lncRNA from 1 species
CACUUUUCAACAAUAAUUCCUCAUUGUGCACCACAUGUAAAUCUUCAUAUUGAAUCUCCACAUGUUUGUUAUGUGUUGUAUUUCUUUUCUCUGUAUUGUCCAUACCUUUGUUAGAAGUAUUUUCCUCCGGUUCUUUGUUAUUACUAUUUUGCCUCCCAGGGGAAUUUACUUUGGACUGUACACUCUUCUGUUCUGCCUCUUUUUCAUUCACCCUCUCCACUACUUGAUCUUCUCCACGAACCAAGUUCCUUGAAUCCAACAAGUUAAAAUUAUUCCCUGUUACAAUUCCCACUUUGUUCCACACUUUCGCAGGUUCCUUAUUUCUUCCAGCUCCCCCCC